CCUACGGUGAGCAGCCGUGGGGAAUAUUGCACAAUGGGGAAAACCCUGAUGCAGCGACGCCGCGUGUGUGAAGAAGUAUUUCGGUAUGUAAAGCUCUAUCAGCAGGGAAGAAAAUGACGGUACCUGAUUAAGAAGCCCCUGCUAAAUACGUGCCAGCAGCCGCGGGAAUACGUCGUGGGCAAGCGUUAUCCGGAUUUACUGGUUGUAAAGGGAGCGUAGACGGCAGCACAAGUCUGGAGUGAAAUGCCGGGGCUCAACCCCGGAACUGCUUUGGAAACUGUGCAGCUAGAGUGCAGGAGAGGUAAGUAGAAUUCCAGGUGUAGCGGUGAAAUGCGUAGAUAUUAGGAGGAAGACCAGUGGCGAAGGCGGCUUACUGGAC
rnacentral:rRNA from 1 species